UCUGGAUGUACUGAAUUAACCCCAGAACAUGUAAAGCAACCUGGUCAGAGUUUGGUGUAGUACCCACGAGGAGGCGAUGGCAUUCAUGCUACAGUUGAAAAAACACAUUCAAGAGAUGAAAAGCAGUAAUGUAAGUAGUAAGACUGAAAAAAAAAGAGCCCUUGAUUUUUCUCUUAAAGUUUUCUUAGCUUUUUGUCUGGCAAGAUUUUUGAUAGAUUGAAGGCAUGUAACUGAAAGUAAAACUUUUAUCAGUAAGUUUAAUUAGCUACAUGAUGAUAAAAGCUUUCUUGCCCCACUCACCUACUCUAUCCACACAUUAAAUUAUUUUCAAUACACAACAAUCUAAAUCUUUGAACAGAACAUAAAUUGUAUGUAGCCAUGCCCAUUUAUGCUAACUUUUAAAAUAUAAUCUUUAAAUCAAGCGCAUACCUCAUUAAACC
rnacentral:lncRNA from 1 species